AGGAUGAACGCUGGCGGCGUGCUUAACACAUGCAAGUCGAACGGUGAAGUGAGGAGCUUGCUCCUUGCGGAUCAGUGGCGAACGGGUGAGUAACACGUGAGUAACCUGCCCUUGACUCUGGGAUAAGCACUGGAAACGGUGUCUAAUACCGGAUACGACCUCCGAAGGCAUCUUCUGGAAGUGGAAAGAAUUUCGGUCAAGGAUGGACUCGCGGCCUAUCAGCUAGUUGGUGAGGUAACGGCCCACCAAGGCGACGACGGGUAGCCGGCCCCGAGAGGGUGACCGGCCACACUGGGACUGAGACACGGCCCAGACUCCUACGGGAGGCAGCAGUGGGGAAUAUUGCACAAUGGGCGCAAGCCUGAUGCAGCAACGCCGCGUGAGGGACGACGGCCUUCGGGUUGUAAACCUCUUUAGUAGGGAAGAAGCGAAAGUGACGGUACCUGCAGAAAAGCACCGGCUAACUACGUGCCAGCAGCCGC
rnacentral:rRNA from 1 species